rnacentral:tRNA from 2 species
GGAGGGGUGGCCGAGCGGUCGAAGGCGCACGCCUGGAAAGUGUGUAUACGGGAAACCGUAUCGCGGGUUCGAAUCCCGCCCCCUCCGCCA